rnacentral:rRNA from 1 species
GACGAACGCUGGCGGCGUGCUUAACACAUGCAAGUCGAACGGAAAGGCCCUGCUUUUGUGGGGUGCUCGAGUGGCGAACGGGUGAGUAACACGUGAGUAACCUGCCCUUGACUUUGGGAUAACUUCAGGAAACUGGGGCUAAUACCGGAUAGGAGCUCCUGCUGCAUGGUGGGGGUUGGAAAGUUUCGGCGGUUGGGGAUGGACUCGCGGCUUAUCAGCUUGUUGGUGGGGUAGUGGCUUACCAAGGCUUUGACGGGUAGCCGGCCUGAGAGGGUGACCGGCGACAUUGGGACUGAGAUACGGCCCAGACUCCUACGGGAGGCAGCAGUGGGGAAUAUGGCACAAUGGGCGGAAGCCUGAUGCAGCAACGCCGCGUGCGGAAUGACGGCCUUCGGGUUGUAAACCGCUUUCGCCUGUGACGAAGCGUGAGUGACGGUAAUGAGUAAGGAAGCACCGGCUAACUACGUG